UACUAAAGUUUUUAGCUUCUACCAUAUG
rnacentral:sRNA from 1 species